rnacentral:tRNA from 1 species
AUGAAACUAGCUCAGUGGUAGAGCAGCGAAUUCGUAAUUCGCGGGUCGUGGGUUCGAAUCCCGUGUUUCAUU